GGUGUGGAGGUGCCACCUGUGGGUGCGGAGAUGUCACCCAUAAGGGGACACAGAUAUCACACAUGGGGACGUGGAGGUGCCGCCUGAGGGCACAGGUGUCACCCAUGUGCGUGGAGGUGUCACCCACGGGCACAGAGAUGUCACCCAUAAGGACACGAGGAUGUCACCCAUGGGUCCAGUACAGCUGACCGGUGCGCCCAGUACACCCCCACCAUGGGGACAGGGGCGACACUCUGAGCACCGCAGGGCACUGGAGCACAGGGGAACUGGGCACACUGGGAGGCACUGGGAGGCAGCAGGACAUGGGGGGACACUGGGGACAUAGGGACACCGGGGGACACUGGGCCUGCAGGUGGUGGGACUGGGGGGCACUGGGAGCAGCACUGGGCCAUACUGGGGAUGCAGUAGAGUGGCACUGGGAGAUAGUGGGGACACAGUGAGGCAGCACUGGGAGGUUCUGUGUGCAUGGCACUGGGAGCACUGGGCUGUACUGGGGACACAGCAGGACCGAUCCCUGGGAGCACUGGGAGAUACUGGAGGCACAACAGAGUAGCACUGGGAGCGCUGGACCAUACUGGGAGCAUAGCGGGGCACCACUGGGAGCACUGGGGGCACAGUGGGGUGGCACUGGGAGAUACUGGGGGUGCAGCAGCGCGGCACUGGAAGCACUGGGAGACACUGGAAGCACAGUGGGGCACCACUGGGAGCACUGGGGGCACAGUGGGGUGGCACUGGGGGGUACCAGGGGCGCAGCAGAGCGGCACUGGGAGCACUGGGCCAUACUGGGAGCACAGCGGGGGGGGGCACCGGGAGCCCCGCGCGAUGCCGGGGGCGGCGCGGGGGCCGUACCGGGGGCCGUACCGGGGCCGUACCGGGGCGGUCUCGCAGGAGGCUCCGGGGGCAGCCCCGGGGGCGGCGGCGCUGCGGCAGCGCGCGGUACCGGGAGCCCCGAGCCGCACCGGGGCAGCCCCGGGAGCAGCGCGGCGGCGGCGGCCCCGGGCGGGGCGGAGCCGGGGCAUGGCGGGCCUGGGAGCGCUGGAACCGGGCACCGGCACCGGCACCGUCCCGGCCACCAAGGUGGAGCUCACCGUGUCCUGCAGGUGGGGGAGCGGCACCGGGCGCGGGGCACCGGGGGGAGCGGGAGGCGGUUGGUGCUGUGCGGCGCUGGGAUGCGCUGGGAGGCACUGGGAGGCACUGGGAGGCACUGGGGAGCGGGGGGGUCAGGGGGUGAACGGUACCGGGGGGACCUGGGGGCGAGGGGGGGAAUGGGAGAGCCGGGGAGGAUGCGGGAGGGGGGCACUGGGAGUACUGGGAGGCACUGGGGAGCCGGGGGGAGCACAGCGGGUGUACAGCGCUGGGGGAACCCGGUGGUUGUGGGGGUACUGGGAGGCACUGGGGGGCACUGGGAGAGCAGAUGGCGCUGGGAAGCGCAGGGCACAGUGGGAGGCACAGGGGAGUUAUUGGGGGGUACUGGGGGGCACUGGGAGAGCAGAGAUGGCUGGGAAGCACAGGGCACUGGGGAGCACUGGGAAGCACUGGGGGGCACUGGGAGAGCAGAUGGUGCUGGGAAGCACAGGGCACGGCCGGAGGCACUGGGAGGCACGGGGGUGUUAUUGGGAGACGGGGGGGGGGGGACGGGGGGGGCCGGGGGGCCCGGGGGGGCAAAGGGGGGGGGGGGCGGGGGGAACGGGGGGGGGGGGCGGCCGUCCCCCCCCGCCCCCCUCCGCCUCCCCCCCUCCCUCCCGCCCCCCUCGGGGGGGGGGGCUCCCCGCACAGCCCCCCCCCGUGUCCCCCCCGUGCCCGGUGCCCGCUGGGGCUCGCUGCCACCUGUCACCCAUCGCCUCGCACCCUGGGACACCCGGGCCCCCCCGCGCUGGCACUGUGCUCGCUGCCCGGGGGGGGCCUCACCACCCCCCUCCCC
rnacentral:lncRNA from 1 species